rnacentral:rRNA from 1 species
UACGGAGGGUGCGAGCGUUGUCCGGAAUCACUGGGCGUAAAGGGCGCGUAGGUGGCCUGUGGAAGUCUGCGGUGAAAGCCCGGCGCUCAACGCCGGGUCGGCCGUGGAUACUCUCGGGCUCGAGCUUACUAGAGGCAGAUGGAAUUCCGGGUGUAGCGGUGGAAUGCGUAGAUAUCUGGAGGAAUACCGGUGGCGAAGGCGGCAUCCUGGACCGGCAUUGACGCUGAGUGAGCGAAAGCCAGGGGAGCAAACGGG